rnacentral:rRNA from 1 species
UGAGGAAUAUUGGACAAUGGGCGCAAGCCUGAUCGAGCCAUGCCGCGUGCAGGAAGAAGCAUCUAUGGUGUGUAAACUGCUUUUGUACGGGAAGAAACACUCCUACGUGUAGGAGCUUGACGGUACCGUAAGAAUAAGGAUCGGCUAACUCCGUGCCAGCAGCCGCGGUAAUACGGAGGGUGCGAGCGUUGUCCGGAUUUAUUGGGUUUAAAGGGUGCGUAGGUGACUUUUUAAGUCAGUGGUGAAAUACAGCCGCUCAACGGUGGAACGGCCAUUGAUACUGUUAGACUUGAAUUACAAGGAAGUAACUAGAAUAUGUAGUGUAGCGGUGAAAUGCUUAGAUAUUACAUGGAAUACCAAUUGCGAAGGCAGGUUACUACUUGUGGAUUGACGCUGAUGGACGAAAGCGUGGGGAGCGAACA